GACUGAUAAUUAAGCUUUUAAAUAAAAGAGAAGGAAGAUGGAAUGGCCCAAGCUCUUUGAUCCAAAUACCUCUUCCCCCUAACUAUUCACGAAGAGAGAUUCAACUUACUGAAGUGUAACAGACUUAACAGACGCAAGGCUGGGAUUUGUGAGCAGAUAGUACAUUUGUUUUAAUUUUUCAGGAGUAUGCAUUAAACAAAUAAAUAAAAUC